rnacentral:rRNA from 1 species
CCUGGUGGUUAUAGCGAGUAGGAACCACCCGAUUCCAUCUCGAACUCGGAAGUGAAGAUGCUUAGCGCCGAUGAUAGUGUGGUUUUUUUUCCAUGUGAAAGUAGGUCGCUGCCAGGC